UCGAGUUACCGCAUCCUUAUAACCCUUUGUGACAUACCCCAAACGUUGCCUCGGCGGGCAGCCGGAGCCCAGCUCCGGCGCCCGGAGCCGCCGUCUCGGCGCGCCCCACCCGCCGGCGGACCACUAAACUCUAUUUAAACGACGUCUCUUCUGAGUGGCACAAGCAAAUAAUCAAAACUUUUAACAACGGAUCUCUUGGUUCUGGCAUCGAUGAAGAACGCAGCGAAAUGCGAUAAGUAAUGUGAAUUGCAGAAUUCAGUGAAUCAUCGAAUCUUUGAACGCACAUUGCGCCCGCCAGCAUUCUGGCGGGCAUGCCUGUUCGAGCGUCAUUUCAACCCUCAAGCACCGCUUGGCGUUGGGGCCCUACGGCUUCCGUAGGCCCCGAAAUACAGUGGCGGACCCUCCCGGAGCCUCCUUUGCGUAGUAACAUACCACCUCGCACUGGGAUCCGGAGGGACUCCUGCCGUAAAACCCCCCAAUUUUCCAAAGG
rnacentral:rRNA from 1 species